rnacentral:misc_RNA from 1 species
UGUAAUAAUAAUAACAACAAUAAUAAUUAUAGUAAUAAUGAUAAUGAUAAUAUUCACAAUACACCAAAAUUUCUGAAGAUUAUUGAAUAGAAAUGUGUAGAUUUUUCACCUGAAACUCCACCUACCUUUAUGCAAGCUCCUUCCCCUAACAAAAAAAAUUCUCUGAAUGAACCAAAUGUUCUUCUUCCCCCUCAUACUUCUUUCCUCACACAAACCAGAAGUUGCUCAACAAACUCCCAGACUCUGACUCUGCUCUCAAUGAUGAUGAUGAGAAAGUUCAAGCACACAUAGUGUAAAGAACCAUAUAGCAGAAGCUAAUAAUAUAUGCUUUGAUGACAUAUACAAUGAAGAUUCAUUACCCCCCCAAUAGAGAUUCCUUUGAGCCUUUCUUUUUUCCCCCAUUGUUUCCAUAGCUAUUUCAAGCUAUUUUCACUGAACCUGACUGAACAAAUUGAUUCCCAAUCUUCCUGUGUUGACUCUUGGAAUUAGGUACACAAACAGGUGGGGUUUCGAAGAGGGAUUGAGAGAAUUGCUUGAAAACAACACCAACAUCGAAAUAAA